AAAGAAAAUAUGCAAGGCUGGAUUCAACUUCAUCUACAAAGAGAACUUUGAUAACUGCACAAUCAUCAAUCAUUCUCAGAGAACAGAAAGCUCCAGUUCAAGCCUAUUAUCUACUAAAGGACUCAUCUUAGCCCUGUGAUUAAAAAGAAUUGAUUACUUCGGCUGUUUCUUAUAGCAAGAUCUUUACUUUCAUCUAAAAUAGUGCUCUUAUAUUUCACACUGAGUUUCAAAAUUCCAAAGAGGAGACCUGUACACUACUGUGAUUUGAUGUGAUAGAAUGCCAAAGUGGGG
rnacentral:lncRNA from 1 species